rnacentral:rRNA from 1 species
GGACGAACGCUAGCGGCGUGCUUAACCCAUGCAAGUCGAACGGAAAGGCCCUGCUUUUGUGGGGUGCUCGAGUGGCGAACGGGUGAGUAACACGUGAGUAACCUGCCCUUGACUUUGGGAUAACUUCAGGAAACUGGGGCUAAUACCGGAUAGGAGCUCCUGCUGCAUGGUGGGGGUUGGAAAGUUUCGGCGGUUGGGGAUGGACUCGCGGCUUAUCAGCUUGUUGGUGGGGUAGUGGCUUACCAAGGCUUUGACGGGUAGCCGGCCUGAGAGGGUGACCGGCCACAUUGGGACUGAGAUACGGCCCAGACUCCUACGGGAGGCAGCAGUGGGGAAUAUUGCACAAUGGGCGGAAGCCUGAUGCAGCAACGCCGCGUGCGGGAUGACGGCCUUCGGGUUGUAAACCGCUUUCGCCUGUGACGAAGCGUGAGUGACGGUAAUGGGUAAAGAAGCACCGGCUAACUACGUG